AGCGGGGUAGAGUAAUGGUAAUUCGCGAGGCUCAUAACCUCGAGAUGCGGGUUCAAGUCCCGCCCCCGCAA
rnacentral:tRNA from 1 species